ACACCAGAUAAUCCUAAUGUAAAGACAGCAGAUGAUCAGGGUGGAGAUAAAGAGACAAAUGCAUCACCAGAUAAUCCUAAUGCAAAGACAACAGAUGAUCAGGGUGGAGAAGAGACAAUGCAUCACCAGAUAAUCCUAAUGCAAAA